CUGAAAAUUUAGUCUACAAUGUGAAUAUUAGUUAGUUUAUAAAUAGAUUUUUACAAAGAAAAAAAAAAAUAAAACGGAACUUUAUAACUAAACUAAAACUUUUUUAAUUUUAAGGCUAAGACAAUAUAGUUGGCCACACAGCUCUUUAAUCUGUUGGAGUUGGGAAUAUUUCACUAUUUCCUUACUGUGAUGCAAGACUUCUACUUACAGUUUACACGUUAGUGCGUAUAAAAAACAUAUUGUUAUUUCCUCAACUUCAUUCGCACUUUGAUGCAAAUGAUUUAAGCUCUGGAUUAUUUUAUAUUGGCAACACCGUAUAGCAAAAUAAUGGCAUACAAAGAGGAUAACAGAUAAAUUUUGGUGCUCCCAAAAUUUGACAACAAAUGUCAAGCUUAUAAGUGUCGGUAAUUAUUUUAUUUGUCUUUAAAGCCUAGUACUGACUUCGACUUUUCACACGAACAUCUGUCAAAACGCACUAUAAAACAAUGGUGACGAAGAUAAUGCGAACACAUUCCGUACAAGUGGUACAGAGUUCUAUGAGCAAAAUAGUAGCGACAUGUCGCUGCAUCAGAAUAAAUUUCGCACAAUUUUAAUUGCAAAUGUAAUUAAAUGCUCACGAAUCAACUUUGUUCAAUACUGUAGACUUUGUUGUGUGUUGUUGUUUGACUUUUGUUUGUGUUCUGACAAAGAAAAGAGUCCGUCGGCAUUUUCGCUGUGAAUGAAGUCAGUACCAGGCUUAAAGCAAGCAGCUCUGCCGAAAAAAUUAAAAAAUCUAAUUUAAAGUAAAAAGAAAAGAAAUGAAGAUACACAUAUUGGAAGCUAACCCUGCCUAAACCCUAUAUACGUGCAUUUCGGCAUAGUUUCCUUCACGGGAAAGGAAAUAAUGCAUAUUUCGAAAAUGCAAACGACGCAAACUGCAUGUUGGGAAAUCCUGUUUUAAAUUAGCAUAAUAUAAGUGUAUAUAAAUAAACUUUUUGCUUUAUAUAAUGACUAAAUAAAAAACCCUUUUCCUUGUUUAA